AAGACCGUACUCACUAGGAUCAUUUCUAUAGUACGUGUCCGUUCUUCGUUUACCAAACGGAGUUCACCUUGCCAACCACGAUGACGCGAGAUAGCGUCCUCUCCUGAGCGCGAAGCUCGCCCUCAGAUGGGUCUGCUUUAGACCCGCGUCUGUGGUCGCUUGAUGACCGUUCCCUUGCCUCUGCUCUUGCGAGCAUGCAAAGGGAGGGAGAGGACGCAUUCUGAGUGGU